rnacentral:sRNA from 1 species
GCUGCCGCCACCACCGUUGCUUCGCGGGCUGGGAGGCCCGGGGUUCCCGGGCGAACAGAGGCUGCGGGUGGGAGCCUUCGCGGGCGCUGCAGAGCGGGCCGGGGGAGGCCGGGAUGGAGCCCCGCGGAGUGGACUGACGCCGCAGGGGCGAGCUAGCCGGCUCCGCGCCUCUCCGCGGGAUCCAGACGCCUCCUGGGGCUGCUGGCGGAGGGUCUGAGGCGGCGCGGCCAUGGCUCACCUCCGGGGAUUUGCCAACCAGCACUCUCGAGUGGACCCUGAGGAGCUCUUCACCAAGCUCGACCGCAUUGGCAAGGGCUCGUUUGGGGAGGUCUACAAGGGCAUCGAUAACCACACGAAGGAGGUGGUGGCCAUCAAGAUCAUCGACCUGGAGGAGGCCGAGGAUGAGAUCGAGGACAUCCAGCAGGAGAUCACUGUCCUCAGCCAGUGCGACAGCCCCUACAUCACCCGCUACUUUGGCUCCUACCUAAAGCAUGCCCUUCCUCUUGCUGCCAAAUGCUGAUGGGUUUGUCUCCGGUCCCAGAGCACCAAGCUGUGGAUCAUCAUGGAGUACCUGG